GAUGAAGAACGCAGCGAAAUGCGAUACGUAAUGUGAAUUGCAGAAUUCAGUGAAUCAUCGAGUCUUUGAACGCACAUUGCGCCCCCUGGUAUUCCGGGGGGCAUGCCUGUCCGAGCGUCAUUGCUGCCCUCAAGCACGGCUUGUGUGUUGGGCCUCCGUCCUCCUCCCGGGGGACGGGCCCGAAAGGCAGCGGCGGCACCGCGUCCGGUCCUCGAGCGUAUGGGGCUUCGUCACCCGCUCUUGUAGGCCCGGCCGGCGCUUGCCGACACAUCAAUCUUUUUUCCAGGUUGACCUCGGAUCAGGUAGGGAUACCCGCUGAACUUAAGCAUAUCAAAAGCGGGGA
rnacentral:misc_RNA from 1 species